rnacentral:rRNA from 1 species
GACGAACGCUGGCGGCGUGCUUAACACAUGCAAGUCGAACGGAAAGGCCCUGCUUUUGUGGGGUGCUAGAGUGGCGAACGGGUGAGUAACACGUGAGUAACCUGCCCUUGACUUUGGGAUAACUUCAGGAAACUGGGGCUAAUACCGGAUAGGAGCUCCUGCUGCAUGGUGGGGGUUGGAAAGUUUCGGCGGUUGGGGAUGGACUCGCGGCUUAUCAGCUUGUUGGUGGGGUAGUGGCUUACCAAGGCUUUGACGGGUAGCCGGCCUGAGAGGGUGACCGGCCACAUUGGGACUGAGAUACGGCCCAGACUCCUACGGGAGGCAGCAGUGGGGAAUAUUGCACAAUGGGCGGAAGCCUGAUGCAGCAACGCCGCGUGCGGGAUGACGGCCUUCGGGUUGUAAACCGCUUUCGCCUGUGACGAAGCGUGAGUGACGGUAAUGGGUAAAGAAGCACCGGCUAACCACGUG